GCCCUGGUGGCACAGUGCUUAAAGUGCUUGGCUGCUAACCAAAAGGUUGGUGGUUCAAACCCACCCCGCUCCA
rnacentral:tRNA from 1 species